rnacentral:rRNA from 1 species
AACGAACGCUGGCGGCAUGCCUAACACAUGCAAGUCGAACGAGACCGUCGGGUCUAGUGGCGCACGGGUGCGUAACGCGUGGGAACCUGCCCUUAGGUUCGGAAUAACUCCCCGAAAGGGGUGCUAAUACCGGAUAAUGUCUUCGGACCAAAGAUUUGUCGCCUUUGGAUGGGCCCGCGUUGGAUUAGCUAGUUGGUAGGGUAAAAGCCUACCAAGGCGACGAUCCAUAGCUGGUCUGAGAGGAUGAUCAGCCACACUGGGACUGCGACACGGCCCAGACUCCUACGGGAGGCAGCAGUAGGGUAUAUUGGACAAUGGGCGCAGGCCUGAUCCAGCCAUGCCGCGUGAGUGAUGAAGGCCUUAGGGUUGUAAAGCUCUUUUACCCGGGAUGAUAAUGACAGUACCGGGAGAAUAAGCUCCGGCUAACUCCGUG